AUUCCAGCUCCAAUAGCGUAUAUUAAAGUUGUUGCAGUUAAAAAGCUCGUAGUUGGAUUUGUGGCAACAGGUGUGGCCCAACUAGUUUUGGUGUUGCAUGUUGUUGCCAUCUUUGGGUGGAACCUGUGGGGCAUUAGGUUGUUCUGCAGGGGAUAUCUAUCGUUUACUGUGAAAAAAUUAGAGUGUUCAAAGCAGGCUUACGCCGAUGAAUAUACUAGCAUGGAAUAAUGAAAUAGGACUUUGGUACUAUUUUGUUGGUUUGCGCACCAAAGUAAUGAUUAAUAGGGACAGUUGGGGGUAUUCGUAUUCCAUUGUCAGAGGUGAAAUUCUUGGAUUUUUGGAAGACGAACUACUGCGAAAGCAUUUACCAAGGAUGUUUUC
rnacentral:rRNA from 1 species